AGGAGUGGUAGAGGAGCAUUGUUAGCGCAGCGAAGCUGUACCGAUAAGGAGCAGUGGAGUGCUAAGAAGAGAGAAUGCCGGAAUGAGUAGCGAGAGGAAGGUGAGAAUCCUUCCGGCCGAAUAUCCAAGGUUUCCAGAGUAAAGCUGAUCUGCUCUGGGUAAGUCGGGGCCUAAGGCGAGGUCGAAAGACGUAGUCGAUGGAUAACAGGUGGAGAUUCCUGUACUAUGUGUACCCAGAACUGUGGGGACGCAUGUGGAGAGCAUGAGCCGGGAAAGAGAAAACCGGUACAAGCGGGGUAGGAGUAAGGACAGCAAAUCUUCCUUACAAUCCGAAGACGUGAUGUGGACCGAACCAAAGUAGGGAAGCAUGUGAGCCAUGUGCCAAGAAAAGCCGCUAUUGUGAUACACAUACCCGUACCGUAAACCGACACAGGUGGAUGAGGAGAGAAUCCUAAGGCCGACGGAAGAAGCAUUGUUAAGGAACUCGGCAAAAUGACCCCGUAACUUCGGGAGAAGGGGUGCCCUGUGAAAGCAGGGCCGCAGAGAAUAGGCUCAAGCAACUGUUUAGCAAAAACACAGGUCUAUGCGAAACCGAAAGGUGAGGUAUAUGGGCUGACGCCUGCCCGGUGCUGGAAGGUUAAGAGGAGAAGUCAGGCAACGAAGCUUCGAAUUUAAGCCCCAGUAAACGGCGGCCGUAACUAUAACGGUCCUAAGGUAGCGAAAUUCCUUGUCGGGUAAGUUCCGACCCGCACGAAAGGCGUAAUGAUUUGAGCACUGUCUCGACAAUGCAUCCGGUGAAAUUGAAGUACCAGUGAAGAUGCUGGUUACCUGCGCCAGGACGGAAAGACCCCAUGGAGCUUUACUCCAGCUUGAUACUGGGAUUCGAUACUGUAUGUACAGGAUAGGUGGGAGACGUUGAACAUAGAACGCCAGUUUUAUGUGAGUCGCUGUUGGGAUACCACCCUUGCAGUAUUGGAUUUCUAACCUGCACCCAUGACCUGGGUGGGGGACAAUGUCUGGCGGGGAGUUUGACUGGGGCGGUCGCCUCCGAAAGGGUAUCGGAGGCGCUCAAAGGUUCCCUCAGAAUGGUUGGAAACCAUUCGAAGAGUGCAAAGGCAGAAGGGAGCUUGACUGUGACACCGACGGGUGGAACAGGUACGAAAGUAGGACUUAGUGAUCCGGUGGUAUAAAGUGGGAUUGCCAUCGCUCAACGGAUAAAAGCUACCCUGGGGAUAACAGGCUUAUCACUCCCAAGAGUUCACAUCGACGGAGUGGUUUGGCACCUCGAUGUCGGCUCAUCGCAUCCUGGGGCUGUAGCAGGUCCCAAGGGUUGGGCUGUUCGCCCAUUAAAGCGGUACGCGAGCUGGGUUCAGAAC
rnacentral:rRNA from 1 species